rnacentral:rRNA from 1 species
CAGUCGCCACGGUAAAACGUAGGUGGCAAGCGUUGUCCGGAAUUAUUGGGCGUAAAGGGCUCGCAGGCGGUUUCUUAAGUCUGAUGUGAAAGCCCCCGGCUCAACCGGGGAGGGUCAUUGGAAACUGGGAAACUUGAGUGCAGAAGAGGAGAGUGGAAUUCCACGUGUAGCGGUGAAAUGCGUAGAGAUGUGGAGGAACACCAGUGGCGAAGGCGACUCUCUGGUCUGUAACUGACGCUGAGGAGCGAAAGCGUGGGGAGCGAACAGGAUUAGAGACCCCCGUAGUCCCUGUCUCUUAUAC